GGCAGAUCAUGUUUUGAUUGACACCCACAACGGCUGCUGGGGGCCGGCUAACUAUAACUCACUGAGCCUCGCCUCCAACACGCAGCUUUUCUCAGCCAGAGGGCCCCAUUGGAGAGACGGAUAUAACAUUAGCUCAGGAGGAAGAGGUUGAAAUCACUGGAGGACACAGCCAGCAGAUUCACCUGCAGAACCAGCCUUGUUGAUGCAUAAUGCAGAAAACAUGAGCUUAAAAAGUAAAACUACAACAAUAACUGAAGAGGAAACGUCAUGCAGCAGGUAUCUCAGCUACUUAUUUGGUUCCUUUGGUGGCUCGUUAGCCCAAUUGGGAACACCUGGCGCCGGUGUUCUCAGGUGAUAAAGCCUGGAUGCAGUUAGCAGCUUCGCUCUCCUCAGACUUCUUGUUGCUGCUGCUGUUGAUUGCAGCGCUCCGCCUCCCUUCAGGGCAGCCAUUAUGAUUUGGUUUAGUUCUUGCAUCUUCCAACACACACACACACACACACACACAUCCAUUCCUUUUACCUCCUUUAAUUUGGUUUAAUUUGUUUAAAUAAAUAUCUUUUGUUAAACGUUGACAUGGUUGGGAUGUGUGUCGAGUGGCUGCGGCGUUCUUGGUUUGAUUCUGGCUGGGAACCUUUGUUGCAUGUCAGACCUAUCUAAUUAUGCAAAACUCUGCAAAAAAUCUACAACUGCAGUGAGGGAAUCAGCCUGUAAAUAGUAAUCUCAAUGGAUAAACUAGGUAAUAAUUACAUUUUUUUUCUUGGUUUAUUUUUGUUUCCAGACAAAGCACCUACAACAAAAGACCACACAAUAAAUGAAUGAAAGAAAGGCUGUGGUCAUCAAAACAACCGACUUUGACUGACUAUCGAGGUUCACGGCCCAUUUCUUGCUUCAAGCCAGCACUGGCUUUUUCACUAUUUCACUAUUCUCCUCACAUUAAGGCAAAACCCAAUCCUGAACCCUAAAAUAAAUGAUUAACCUUGUAAUGACUGAAUAUUUGUCAGCACACGGCCGGUGAGUUCGCACAAUGUGAUUGUGUGUCAGAUCUAACACACACUGCACACACAUGUAAACCUACUGUGAGUCAGAAUGGAAAAUAAAUGAAUAUAUUCAAAUGAAGGUGAUAAUGUUAUUCAAUGGUUUUACUUUUGAAAACAUAAGGCAACACACAGUACACCCAGGAUCUUGUACAGUUAUUACUACUACAUUUCAUUGUCUCAGUACC